rnacentral:rRNA from 1 species
CCCUUAGAUGUCCCGGGCUGCACGCGCGCUACACUGACGAACUCAACGAGCUUAUCACCUUGGCAGAGAUGUCUGGGUAAUCUUUUGAAAGUUCGUCGUGCUGGGGAUAGAUGAUUGUAAUUAUUCGUCUUGAACGAGGAAUUCCUAGUAAGUGUGAGUCAUCAGCUCGCGCUGAUUACGUCCCUGCCCUUUGUACACACCGCCCGUCGCUCCUACCGAUUGAAUGGUCCGGUGAGGUUCUCGGAUUUUUUCUGUUGUUUGGUUCGCUAAACGAUUGAAGAGAGAAGUUACCCAAACCUUACCAUUUAGAGGAAGGAGAAGUCGUAACA